rfam:Pteropus alecto contig165877, whole genome shotgun sequence.
GGCUCCAUAGUGUAGUGGUUAGCACGUCUGCUUUACAUGCAGAAUGUCCUGGGUUCGUGCCCCAGUUGGAGCCA